CCACCACGACUUGGAGGACUUUUAUAGGUGCAUCAAGUAUGACGGUCAUCCAUCACAGCUACAGAGAAGUCUGCAGGACAUCAGGAGAAAGAUGCUGGAAAGCAGGUCCGCAGCUGACUUUCAGGACAAGACUUCAGAAAAACACCCCUGCACUGCUGAAGAUAGAGGACACGAGGAUGACGUUUGCCACUCCAGAUUAUUAGAGCGAGGGUCUGGUUCAGGGGAGAGUUCGGCAGAGCUGAUCUUCAGGGGCAGCCGGGAGAAGGAUGCAAUAGAGGAAAUGUUUCCCAAGAUGAAAGUCCCCGCAUUUGCAACACUACAGCCG